rnacentral:rRNA from 1 species
UGGGGAAUUUUGGACAAUGGGCGAAAGCCUGAUCCAGCAAUGCCGCGUGUGUGAAGAAGGCCUUCGGGUUGUAAAGCACUUUUGUCCGGAAAGAAAUGGCUCUGGUUAAUACCUGGGGUCGAUGACGGUACCGGAAGAAUAAGGACCGGCUAACUACGUGCCAGCAGCCGCGGUAAUACGUAGGGUCCAAGCGUUAAUCGGAAUUACUGGGCGUAAAGCGUGCGCAGGCGGUUGUGCAAGACCGAUGUGAAAUCCCCGAGCUUAACUUGGGAAUUGCAUUGGUGACUGCACGGCUAGAGUGUGUCAGAGGGGGGUAGAAUUCCACGUGUAGCAGUGAAAUGCGUAGAGAUGUGGAGGAAUACCGAUGGCGAAGGCAGCCCCCUGGGAUAACACUGACGCUCAUGCACGAAAGCGUGGGGAGCAAACAGGAUUAGAUACCCUGGUAGUCCACGCCCUAAACGAUGUCAACUAGUUGUUGGGGAUUCAUUUCCUUAGUAACGUAGCUAACGCGUGAAGUUGACCGCCUGGGGAGUACGGUCG